AAUCAUCAACCUAUAAACCUUUGUGGGUUUGUAGGCUUGGAUUUGGAGGCUUGUCGGCCUAACAGUCGGCUCCUCUUAAAUGCAUUAGCUUGAUUCCUUGCGGAUCGGCUCUCGGUGUGAUAAUUGUCUACGCCGCGACCGUGAAGCGUUUGGCGAGCUUCUAAUCGUCUUGUAUGAGACAACUUAUUGAC
rnacentral:misc_RNA from 1 species